AAAGAAUAGAAGCUGAUGUGGAGAAAUGUUUGAUGCUUCAAGACUCUCUGAAGCUGAUUAUAUUAGGUGCACCCAGUGGCUUUUGACUAGGCCUAUUCGAGGGUCACAUGGUUGUGAAUUCAUACCUCAACUUUGCGGCUGGAUUUUCAGUCUUAUUACAACUUCAGUCUGGCGUCCCUGGAGCAGGCAUCUUUUGCACACUUGAAUUAAUUUCAAAGAUGUUUUGUUGGAAUCACAACACUCACUGGAUACAAGACGGAUAUACAGAGGC